rnacentral:rRNA from 1 species
GUGAGGAAUUUUCCGCAAUGGGCGAAUGCCUGACGGAGCAAUGCCGCGUGAAGGAUGAAGGCCUAUGGGUUGUAAACUUCUUUUCUCAGAAAAGAAUUAUGACGGUAUCUGAGGAAUAAGCAUCGGCUAACUCUGUGCCAGCAGCCGCGGUAAGACAGAGGAUGCAAGCGUUAUCCGGAAUGAUUGGGCGUAAAGCGUCUGUAGGUUGUUUAAAAAGUAUUCUGUCAAAGAUUAGGGCUUAACCCUAGAUAGGCAGAAUAAACUUUUAAGCUAGAGUUUGGUAGAGGCAGAGGGAAUUCCCGGUGGAGCGGUGAAAUGCGUAGAUAUCGGGAGGAACACCAAAGGCGAAGGCACUCUGCUGGGCCAAUACUAACACUGAGAGACGAAAGCGAGGGGAGCAAAUGGGAUUAGAAACCCGGGUAGUCC